GACGGAGGAUGCAAGCGUUAUCCGGAAUGAUUGGGCGUAAAGCGUCCGCAGGUGGCAGUUCAAGUCUGCUGUCAAAGACCGGGGCUUAACUUCGGAAAGGCAGUGGAAACUGAACAGCUAGAGUAUGGUAGGGGCAGAGGGAAUUCCUGGUGUAGCGGUGAAAUGCGCAGAUAUCGGGAGGAACACCAAUGGCGAAGGCAGCUCGCUGGGACGUAACUGACGCUGAGACGCGAAAGCGUGGGGAGCAAACAGG
rnacentral:rRNA from 1 species